rnacentral:lncRNA from 1 species
AUAAUUUGAAAACACGAACCCUCCGUUUGGUUCGGGGUUAAGAAAAAAAUAGCUAUUCCAGGGAUAGAGUUAAGUUCAAAAUUAAAGUAGAGUUAAAGUUUUUUUGUGUUUGGUUGGAGGUUGGAGUUAGUCUAGAAUAAUAAAAAAUAGUGUUUGGUUGGGUAGGUGGGAUAAGAAGAUAAUGAUUGAUAAAGAAGGAUAAUGAUUGGUUGGAGUAGGUGGGGUUGGAGUAGGUGGGAUAAGAAGAUAAUGAUUGAUAAAGAAGGAUAAUGAUUGGUUGGAGUGGGUGUGAUAAGAAAGAUAGUGGGUUAUUAUGAAUAGAAAAUAGUGUUUGGUUGGAGUUUGGUAGGGUUAGGUGGGGUUAGCUAAUCCGAGAUAAUUUAUUUGAUGUAGGAUUAGGUGGGGUUAGCUAACCCCACCUAUUUUUUGAAGUGUUUGGAGAUAAAAUAGGGGUUAAGAGGUUAUUCCACCCCUUAA